rnacentral:misc_RNA from 1 species
CCCCCCCCCCCCCCCCCCCCAAAGUCUCCUUUUAGCGUAGCUUUUAACAUUUAUAAGAUAUCUUUCCCGCUUUUACUCCGCAGCAAAAGUGGGACGUUUAUGAGAACUCGAUUUGUUUGUCACUUUGAUGAUUGUUGAACAGAUGAAACUCAGGCAUACGCAUAAGUGUAGUGCACAUGGUGGCUGCUGCUGUUCCUCCAAUAUGUGCAUAUCCUAAAUAUGCAGCUGGUGCAACGAAUGGCAUUCAAUUUUUAAUGAAAUGGAAUAAAAUUCUUAUGGGCUCUGUUUGGAUAGGUGUGAUUUGGAUUUGUAUUUCAAGUGAAAAAUUAUAAAAUUUUGACAUGAUAUCAAAUUCAAACACUUCAUUAUUUGAAAUUCACACCUAUUCAAACGAAGAUUAUAUGAUUAUAUGCCAUUGUCAUUCUGUUGCAUUCUAUUUCAGGUUAUCAUAGUUUAUAACAUGCACUUAGUUGAUUGUUUG